UACGAAGGGGACUAGCGUUGUUCGGAAUUACUGGGCGUAAAGCGCACGUAGGCGGAUUUGUAAGUCAGGGGUGAAAUCCCGGGGCUCAACCUCGGAACUGCCUUUGAUACUGCAAAUCUCGAGUCCGAUAGAGGUGGGUGGAAUUCCUAGUGUAGAGGUGAAAUUCGUAGAUAUUAGGAAGAACACCAGUGGCGAAGGCGGCUCACUGGACCGGUAUUGACGCUGAGGUGCGAAAGCGUGGGGAGCAAACAGG
rnacentral:rRNA from 1 species